UCCCUGGUGGCUCAGAUGGUAAAGCGUCUGCCUGCAACGCGGGAGACCCAGGUUCGAUUCCUGGGUCGGGAA
rnacentral:tRNA from 1 species